rnacentral:rRNA from 1 species
UACGUAGGGUGCAAGCGUUGUCCGGAAUUAUUGGGCGUAAAGAGCUCGUAGGCGGUUUGUCGCGUCUGCUGUGAAAACGCGGGGCUCAACUCCGCGCCUGCAGUGGGUACGGGCAGACUAGAGUGCAGUAGGGGAGACUGGAAUUCCUGGUGUAGCGGUGGAAUGCGCAGAUAUCAGGAGGAACACCGGUGGCGAAGGCGGGUCUCUGGGCUGUAACUGACGCUGAGGAGCGAAAGCGUGGGGGAGCAAACAGG